UUCGCAAUGCCCGAAAGGGUGAACGAGCGACGCCGCGUGCGGGAUGAAGGGCUUCGGCUUGUAAACCGCUUUUUUUCGGGAAGAACGCAUCGGUCGCGAACCGGUGAGGGACGGUACCGGAAGAAUAAGCCCCGGCUAACUCCGUGCCAGCAGCCGCGGUAAGACGGAGGGGGCGAGCGUUGUUCGGAACCACUGGGCGUAAAGGGCGCGUAGGCGGUGACAUAAGUCGGUGGUGAAAUCCCUCGGCUCAACCGAGGCAUUGCUUCCGAUACUAUGUCGCUUGAGUGCGGGAGGGGAGAGUGGAACUUCUGGUGGAGCGGUGAAAUGCGUAGAUAUCAGAAGGAACGCCGGAGGCGAAGGCGGCUCUCUGGACCGUUACUGACGCUGAGGCGCGAAAGCUAGGGGAGCAAAUGGGAUUAGAUACCCCAGUAGUCCUAGCCGUAAACGAUGGGCACUAAGUAGAGGGGUUUU
rnacentral:rRNA from 1 species